UGAUACGUAGGGUGCGAGCGUUGUCCGGAAUUAUUGGGCGUAAAGAGCUCGUAGGCGGUCUGUCACGUCGGAAGUGAAAACUCGGGGCUCAACCCCGAGCCUGCUUUCGAUACGGGCAGACUUGAGGAAUGUAGGGGAGAACGGAAUUCCUGGUGGAGCGGUGGAAUGCGCAGAUAUCAGGAGGAACACCAGUGGCGAAGGCGGUUCUCUGGACAUUAACUGACGCUGAGGAGCGAAAGCGUGGGGAGCAAACAGGCUUAGAUACCCUGGUAGUCCACGCCGUAAACGGUGGGCACUAGGUGUGGGGGACUUCCACGUUCUCCGUGCCGUAGCUAACGCAUUAAGUGCCCCGCCUGGGGAGUACGGCCGCAAGGCUA
rnacentral:rRNA from 1 species